UGCGGCUGAAGGGCUGGUUACUGAAGACACCCUCAAACCAUCAUUAAAGAAGCCCUAAGGGGAACCAGACACAUUAAAAUACAAUGAGGAAAGGGUGGUCUUCUGACUGGAAACAGAAAGUACCUGAAAUUGAACUAGAAAGCCAAUUCAUGUGACCGUUCCAGCCCAGUUCUGCCAGACCCAGAGGAUUCUGUUGAAUUUGGUGAGUUUGAUAAGAAGGUGAUGAGAUACCUCCAGGCUGUCUUCUCCCUAACUCCAAUAUUCAGAAGACUGGAGAGAACAUUCAAGAAGACACAUCUGCUGCACAGGUCCAGUGAGCCGCUCCCAACUAACAGAAGCUCUUCUAAAGUACAUUC